AGUAGUUGGAGGGUUGGGGUUUUUUUGUUUUUUUUUUCCAUUCAGUGGUAUCUAUGGAGCGCUUACUACGUGCAGAGCACUGUACUCGGCGCCCGGAAGGGACAAUCGGGCAACAGAUCGAGACGGUCCCUGCUCAAAGGGACUCCGAGCAACCGACGGGGACAAGGUGUCCAGCAAGGGGGGAGACAGGAAAGGGGGAUGGGGGGGGGUGGGGAGAAGAGAGAGCGCGCAGAUCCCAGGCGGGAGCUAAAAUCGAGCCUCUCCCCGCUGGCAGCAGCAGGAGGAGAAGGACGGGUCGGGACCGGUUAGCCGGCGGGGGUCGGCCGACGCUGGGAAAGUGGACAGCGGCGCCGGGCAGCGCAGAGGGGGUUCCCGCGACCUCGGGCGGCGAGGAGAUGGGGGGGACGGGGGCCGCCGCCGGGCUUCGGAGGGGGGAGCGCCCCCCGGCGGCGGGGCCGGUGCCGCACUCACCCGCUGGGGCCGGGGGGCCUCCCCGCGCUGUCGGAGGCGUCGGUGGGCCCUCCCUGGGAGCCGGGGACGUCACGCCGCCUGCCCCCCGACCCGCCCCCCACCUGCGCUCAAUGCCAACUUGGGCAGGAGCAGAGAGGACCCGCCGGCUUCCCUCCUCGCCUGCCCCCGCGAUAUCCAACUCUUCUUCACUUCCAUGGCUUCGGAGCAGCAUGCCUAGUGGAUAGAACAUGGACCUGGGAGUCAGAAGGACCUGAGUUCUAAUCCCAGCUCUGCCACUUGUUUGCUGUAUGACAUUGCGCAAGUCACUUAAUUUCUUUGUGCUGCAGUGAUCUCAUCUGUGAGAUGGGGAUUAAGAUCGGGAGCCUUUUGUAGGACUGGGUCCGGGUCCAAACUGAUUUGCCCAGUGCUUAGUACAGUAUGUGGCAUGUAGUAAGCACUUAAUUGUGGAAGACCUCUUGGAGAUGUGAACUUAGCAAUAUUUUGAAGGUGGGGAGAGUGGUGGCAUACAUGGAGGGAGGAGGGAAUUCCCGGCUAGGGGGAGGAUGUGGGAAAAGAGGAGGUGGUGAGAAUGAUGAGAUGGGGGCACAGGGAGUAAACUGACGCUAGAGGAGCAGAGUGUGCAUUUUGGGCUUUAGUAGAAAAUCAGUGAGGUGAGGUAGAAUGGGAUGAGUGCACUGAGAGCUUUAAAGCCGACAUAGUAAAGGAGUUUCUGUGUGAUGCGAAGGUGGAUAGGCAGCCAUUAGAGGUUCUUGAAUCUGUGCAGCUUACCCACACCCAUGGAAGUUUUCAAAAAAAAACCCCUACAGUCACUAGUGAAGAUCUUGUUAGCCUGAUGGUAAGGAAAAAUCUACAGAGUCAACAGAGGACCUUCAGAUGAUUACAAUUUGGCCAGAAGUUUGCUGAUUUAAGACAAACGUAGGCAGCACUGCUAUUUACGCUCAACAGAAUCCAUUGGAGAAUUUUAACAUCGUGAAGUUUGCUAAUAUCACAUUCAAAGACUUUACAUGUUACUAAAACACGACAAGCAAACUGAUGUUUAGCGAAGACCAUUUAUCACCUCCAGAAAGUUGCUGAGCCAAUCCUUUUGACUUUGUGCCACCACAUUCAUCCUUGUUCCAAAUAAUGUAAUUCUAGCAGCGUUGAAUUUUUUUCCUUAGCUGUUUUCAUUUAAAGGAAAAGCUUUAACAUACUUGCUGAACAUGGGGUUUAUGUUUUUACUUUUGGAAGUUUGCAGAGGAUUAUUUUGGUUUUCUUGAGCCCAUUUCCUCUCCUGUGAGCCCAGGAGAGACCUAGAGGUAACGUUCCACCCCUCCGCCCCACCCCCCCAAACACACACACACACGGUUUUCCCUGGGAAUUGUUCUGCUUAAUGUUAGCAGGUUCCAGAAGAUCAGUUUCUUCACAUCGAGGCAAAGCAGCCCUUGUUCAAGGCAGGGAAUGAGGAUGGUAUUUGUUAAGCACUUACUAUGUGCCAAGCACUGUUCCAAGCACUGGGGGGGUUAUAAGGUAGUCAGGGGCUCACAGUCUUCAUCCCCAUUUUAAAGAUGAGGUAACUGAGGCACAGAGAAGUGAAGUGACUUGCCCAAAGUCACACAGCAGACAAGUGGAGGAGAUGGAAUUUGAACCCACGACCUCUGACUCCCAACCCCAGGCUUUUAAGUAAAAGACAGGAAUGGCAGGGAAGCAGCAUGGCCUAGAGGAUAAAGUUUGGGCCUGGGAGCCAGAUCACCUGGGUUCUAAUCCUUUCAAUAGUAUUUAUUUAUUGAGCACUUACUAUGUGCAGAGCACUGUACUAAGCGCUUGGGAUGAACAAGUUGGCAACAGAUAGAGACAGUCCCUGCCGUUUGACGGGCUUACAGUCUAAUCACUUGCCUGCUGUGUGACCUUGGCCAAGUCACUUCACUUCUCUGUGCCUCAGUUCCCUCAACUGCAAAAUGAACAUUCAAUACUUGGUCUUUCCCCUACUCAGACUGUGAAGCUCACGUGGAACAAGGACUGUGGUCUAUAUGACUAACUUGUAUCUCCACCAGCAUUUAGAACAGUGUUUGACACAAACCAUAAAAAAAGGAGUGCUCAGGGGAUUCUCUGGUCAUAUUUUGUUGCCUGUCCCAGCCUGCCCCCUCUGAGGGCUAUGCUUCUGAUUUGGGGGUUAGAGGCACCUGCAUAAGAUUGCUUUCUGUUCUAGCAUGGUGGG
rnacentral:lncRNA from 1 species